UACGUAGGGUGCGAGCGUUAAUCGGAAUUACUGGGCGUAAAGCGUGCGCAGGCGGUUUUGUAAGACUGACGUGAAAUCCCCGGGCUCAACCUGGGAAUGGCGUUGGUGACUGCAAGGCUAGAGUUUGGCAGAGGGGGGUAGAAUUCCACGUGUAGCAGUGAAAUGCGUAGAUAUGUGGAGGAACACCGAUGGCGAAGGCAGCCCCCUGGGUCAAAACUGACGCUCAUGCACGAAAGCGUGGGGAGCAAACAGG
rnacentral:rRNA from 1 species